rnacentral:lncRNA from 1 species
AUCUAUGACCAUCUUUUAUAACGGUUUAUUUAUAACGUUAAAUAACCGUUAUGUAUAAGAGUCAUUUACAACGGUUUUUGAACCGUUAUGUAUGAGCGUCUCUAAAAACUGUUAUGUAUAAUUUUUUUUAUUAAUUUUUUUAAAAUAAUAUUAUAUUAUCUUAUAUUAUAUUAAAAAAUAGUAACAAAUAAAUUAUUUAUCCUAAAAUUUGAAUUUAUUCCUAGAUAUGGACUUUGAAAAAUAAAAAAUUCAUAACAUUUUUUUAUUUUAUUAACACUUAUAUAAAAUCUAAAUUAAAUAUCUAAAUUAGAAAUCUAAAUACCAAAAAUUGAAUAUUAAAAGUGAAAAAAAAGAAAAAAAAUUAAGGGAAUUUAGAAAUUAACCCCCCAAAACUAGAAGCCCUAGUUUUGUUCUUCCUCCCUGUCUCUCUCGACUCUCUCUCCCCUCUUGACUCCGCCGCCGGCGCCGCUGCCCCGAGCCAGCCCGUCGCCGCCCACCCGUGUCGCGCUGCGUCGCGCCGCUGCCGCCCACCCUCGCUGCGUCUCAUCUCCUCCCCAAAUCUCUCUCUCUCUCUUCGCGAUCUCGCUGCCAUUUCACCCUCAUCGCCUCUCUCUAUGGCCUCUGAUGAAAUCCGGCGAGCCGCCGCUUUCAACGGCUCUGUGCUCUCUCUCCCUUCUUUGUCUUCCACAGAACCCCAAAUCUAGAACCCUAGGACUUCGACCUCUCCGUGCCGCCCUUUUCCGCCGACCUCUCCUCACGCAGCCUGUACACGCCCAAACCCCUUUCAAUUCCUCAAUCCCUCUUGCCCAAUCACACGAUUCGAAUCUCAAUUGUGUGGAAAUGCCAAAGCUAGGGUUCAAAUGAAGCUGGAGGGCUAAAAUCUUCUUCUGCUUCCAAUUGAUUUGUUGCUGAGAAAGAGGAUGUCCGUCGCUGAACUGAAGGAGCGGCAGCAGCCAUGGCCGCCGGCACACCAGACCCUAAUCACCUCUCUUUCUCCUCCAACUCCCGGCGAGCAGUGGCGGAAA